rnacentral:rRNA from 1 species
GAUCAUGGCUCAGGACGAACGCUGGCGGCGUGCUUAACACAUGCAAGUCGAACGAGAAUCUACUGAAGGAGGAUUCGUCCAACGGAAGUAGAGGAAAGUGGCGGACGGGUAAGUAACGCGUGAGGAACCUGCCUUGAAGAGGGGGACAACAGUUGGAAACGACUGCUAAUACCGCAUGAUGCAUAGGGGUCGCAUGAUCUUUAUGCCAAAGAUUUAUCGCUUCAAGAUGGCCUCGCG